GUGCUCACUUUGGCAGCACAUAUACUGAAACUGAAACGAAACAGAGAAGAUUAACAUGGCCCCCAUGCAAGGAUGACACACAUAUUUGUGAAGUGUUACAUAUUUUU
rnacentral:snRNA from 1 species